CCCACCUCUUUACACACAGGCACACACACCCGGGCUAACUCCUUCCCUCACACGCCUACUAUCCACUUUCGCCUGAGACCGCAGCCAGCGCAGGGCUCAGUUUUUUAUUUGAUUUUUUAUUUGCCUUGCUUGCUUUGGGUCUUUCCCUCUUGUACAGCGAGACCAUUUCGUCCCAUUUCACCCCUCUGCCCCUGAAAACAUAGGCCCUGGAUUGUCCCUGCAUCAGACUGCAUGCUACCAAUUGAUUUGUGCAUCUACUCCUCCCUAUUAUUUUAGCACUUUAUAUUAAAAAUUGCUCUCUAGCUUUAACGUAAAAUUCGGUUCAUUUUGAGUAAUUUCUUCACAUACCCAUUCUGGAAGAGAGGACGAAGAAAAGAAGAGAACGCUCACGGAAUGGACAGAUGAAAGGGGACAGCAGAAAAAAGAGUGAGAAAAUGGAGAGCAUGUUCUGUGGGAGAGCAAGAGAGACCUGACCUAUGCACCCGACAUUGCCAAUCCCAUUCCAUGUAGCCCAAGACCUGAAAAGAAUGCUGUGGUCUACUCUUGUCUUGAGUCCGUGGAAACUUCCCACUAAGGAGUAACAAUGGAAAGAAUUUCAGUCCAGCCUAAGUAAGGUAACAUCUCUGGCAAGUUUGGAGGUUUAGAGAUGAGCCAUUAUGAGGUGGAGCCAUUCACCAACCCAACACACAACACAAUUAUAUGGUAUCCAAACUAGUGGCAGAUUGACUCUUUCUUUCAGGGAUCGUCAUAAAUAUUUAUUCCUGUAGGAGUGACGCACUGAGAAGCCAGGUGGCUGUAUCGACUCCGACAGCAUAUCCCAAGAGAGCCAUGUUUCCGUGAAACGGAGUAUGUUACAAUAUCUUAUGUCUCUCUGGAAAGCAAACCUUGCCCUGAUUUUGUCGACCUUGUUAUCUAGGGACUGGACAUUAGCGAGUAAUAUAUUCGGGAGCAGUGGGUUGUGUGCACGCCUCUGAAGUUUGACCAGAAGACCGCUCCGUCUUCCUCUUGUCUGGCGGCAUUGUUUUGGGUUGGCCUCUGGAAUUAGUUAAAAUGCCCUGGGUGGUGCGGACAAAGGAUCCCCUUCAGGAAAGUUGUAUUCCUGGUCGUUGUGCUGGUAAGUUGACGUCACUCUGAUAUCCUAUAGUUCUUGAAGAAAAAGAAACGCACACCUAUUAAGACGAGGUAGAAAACUUGAAAAUAAAAGAGAGCCGCACACUA